rnacentral:rRNA from 1 species
ACGGUAAGGAUUGACGGACUGAAGGCUCUUUCUCGAUUCCGUGGAAAGUGGUGCAUGGCCGUUUUUGGUUGGUGGAUCGAUCCGUCUGGUUAAUUCCGUUAACGAACGAGACCUCGGCACUCCGAAUAGCGCGGCGGACGUCGCGGCCUCCGGGCCGUCUUCCGCACGAGCUUCUUAGAGGGACCGUCCCCCGCCGGGGAAGGAGGUGCGAGGCAACGACAGGUCUGUGAUGCCCUUAGAUGUUCUGGGCCGCACGCGCAUUACACUGACGCGUCCAACGGGUGACUCCGACCCGAAGGGGCCGGGGAAUCCGCAAGGCGCGUCGUGAUGGGGAUUGAACGUUGCAAUUGUUGUUCACGAACGAGGAAUUCCUAGUAGGCGCGGGGUCAUCAACCCGCGCCGAUUACGUCCCUGCCCUUUGUACAC